rnacentral:rRNA from 1 species
UACGUAGGGUGCAAGCGUUAAUCGGAAUUACUGGGCGUAAAGCGUGCGCAGGCGGUUUUGUAAGUCUGACGUGAAAUCCCCGGGCUUAACCUGGGAAUUGCGUUGGAGACUGCAAGGCUGGAGUCUGGCAGAGGGGGGUAGAAUUCCACGUGUAGCAGUGAAAUGCGUAGAGAUGUGGAGGAACACCGAUGGCGAAGGCAGCCCCCUGGGCCAAGACUGACGCUCAUGCACGAAAGCGUGGGGAGCAAACAGG